UAUGGCCUACGGGAGGCAGCAGUGGGGGAUAUUGCACAAUGGGGGAAACCCUGAUGCAGCGACGCCGCGUGGGCGAAGAAGUAUUUCGGUAUGUAAAGCCCUCUCAGCAGGGAAGAAGAAAUGACGGUACCUGAGUAAGAAGCACCGGCUAAAUACGUGCCAGCAGCCGCGGUAAUACGUAUGGUGCAAGCGUUAUCCGGAUUUACUGGGUGUAAAGGGAGCGCAGGCGGCACGGCAAGCCUGAUGUGCACGCCAGCGGCCCAACCGCGGGACUGCAUUGGGAACUACCGGGCUGGAGUGCCGGG
rnacentral:rRNA from 1 species